GUACUCGCUUUGGCAGCACAUAUACUAAAAAUGGAACGAUACAGAGAUUAGUAUGGCCACUGUGCAAGGAUGACAUGCAAAUUCAUGAAGCAUUCCAUUAAAAA
rnacentral:snRNA from 1 species